CUUCAAAUCAUUAUUAUGAAUAGUAAUAUAAGUAGUAAUUAACAAUUAAAUUUUUUCAUGCUCGAAUAUUUUUUCGGGAUACUAACAAUAUUAUUAUUCAUCAUUGGUUCAUGAUGUUAAU